rnacentral:rRNA from 1 species
UACGUAGGGUGCGAGCGUUGUCCGGAAUUAUUGGGCGUAAAGAGCUCGUAGGCGGUUUGUCGCGUCUGCCGUGAAAGUCCGGGGCUCAACUCCGGAUCUGCGGUGGGUACGGGCAGACUAGAGUGAUGUAGGGGAGACUGGAAUUCCUGGUGUAGCGGUGAAAUGCGCAGAUAUCAGGAGGAACACCAAUGGCGAAGGCAGCUCGCUGGGACGGUACUGACGCUGAGACGCGAAAGCGUGGGGAGCAAACAGG